UCACUUUUGUAAGCUAUAGAACAAUAUAAAAUAUAUUAUGUCAAAAUUAUUUUUUUAGCAUAUGAUCGAGGAAAUCUCGUGUUAUAUCUUUACCAUUUUUAAGAUUUUUGGCAAAGAACAAGUCUGAUUUGACACCAUAUACCUUUCUCCCGUUCGGACUCGGACCAAGGAGCUGCAUAGCGAUGCGCCUGGCUUACUUGGAAGCUAAAUGUGCAUUAAUCACAAUUCUUCAAAAAUACAAAUUUGUGCCAUCUGAUAAGACAGAGGUACCUUUGAAACUUGAUGUAAGGGUCCUCCUGAAGCCGAAAAAUGGACUAUUUCUUAAAAUGGAGAAACGCAAUGAAUUAUGAUGGAAAUUAUGCAUCUACGAAGUUCCUUUAAAAAUAAUCAACUGUAGUUUGAUAUAGCUAAUUGAAGUUUACUAUUAUAGUAUCAAGGAUUAUGGUAUAUCAAGGAUUUUAUUAUAUAAAUAAUUAAGCUUCAUUUUGUGAAAUGAAUGAGUGUAUAUUGCACAUCAAUAUGAUACUGUUGAAAAGUAAGUGAUAUAUAUAAUUAGUUUAUUUACAACAACUGUAACUAUUUAAUUGGAAAUGUGGAAAUUCAUUAUUUGUAUCAUCAGGAUUAAUUCGGGGAAAAUUUAAAUAAUUUCCUUUCCAUGUUGCUGAUAUACAGCCAUAUGAUUUGUUGACUUGCUUGUUUAUUACAGAUAUAAAAUAUUACCAAAAUUUUA